rnacentral:rRNA from 1 species
CCUACGGGGGGCUGUAGUGGGGAAUAUUGGACAAUGGGGGCAACCCUGAUCCAGCCAUGCCGCGUGUGUGAAGAAGGCCCUCGGGUUGUAAAGCACUUUCAGUGAGGAAGAACGCCUGGUGGUUAAUACCCAUCAGGAAAGACAUCACUCACAGAAGAAGCACCGGCUAACUCCGUGCCAGCAGCCGCGGUAAUACGGAGGGUGCGAGCGUUAAUCGGAAUUACUGGGCGUAAAGCGCGCGUAGGUGGCUUGAUAAGCCGGUUGUGAAAGCCCCGGGCUCAACCUGGGAACGGCAUCCGGAACUGUCAAGCUAGAGUGCAGGAGAGGAAGGUAGAAUUCCCGGUGUAGCGGUGAAAUGCGUAGAGAUCGGGAGGAAUACCAGUGGCGAAGGCGGCCUUCUGGACUGACACUGACACUGAGGUGCGAAAGCGUGGGUAGCAAACAGGAUUAGAUACCCGGGUAGUC